GAUGAAGAACGUAGCGAAAUGCGAUAAGUAGUGUGAAUUGCAGAAUUCAGUGAAUCAUCGAAUCUUUGAACGCACAUUGCGCCCCUUGGUAUUCCAUGGGGCAUGCCUGUUCGAGCGUCAUUUGUACCUUCAAGCUUUGCUUGGUGUUGGGCCCGGUGGGCGAUUGCCUACCAGCCUUAAAGAGAGUGGCGGUGCCCCGCGGCCCUGAGCGUAGUAACUACUCCCGCUAUAGGUGUCCACGGGCUCACCAGCCAGCAACCCCACCUUUCUAUGGUUGACCUCGGAUCAGGUAGGGAUACCCGCUGAACUUAAGCAUAUCAAUAAGCGGAGGA
rnacentral:misc_RNA from 1 species